rnacentral:lncRNA from 1 species
GCCGUAUUUUGACUUGAGUUUGGCCGCAGAGCCAAGCUGUGAUCUGGCAACCCUGGUCACAAGUCAUCUUUUUUUCCUGCUUUUUCCCAGGAAAGGCUGGGAGCGCAUCUGCCUUUUCUACCAUGUCUGAUCCGGUUACCCUUCGCUGUGAGCCUUAGGCUGAGUUUUCUCCAGAAGUCCCAAGAGUUGGCAGGGAAAUCUGACUUGGAUGGAGAUCCAGACGUUGCUAUUGGAGGCGAGCAUGGCGACCUGCAAAAAUUCAUCAGUCACCUCCAGAUCCAGACUAAUCUCUUCAAACUGGUGAAGUCUUCAUUUCUUUCAGCUAGAAAAAAUGCACCUUCUUUUUACUCCAAAGAUCUUAAGGUUCCUACUCAUAUUUCCUGCAGUGUAUUCCCAACUGAACACUUAAAAUAAAACUAUUUUUGUCUUUUUUUUGCCUCAUGGUAUUUGAGCCUUCUAUUUACUUUUCAAUAUUCGUUUUUCCUAGUUUUGUAAUUCCACCUUUUCUCCAGUCACACAUGAGAUUUCAAUGUUACAUUCACAAUUUCUCCAUCAUGACGCCCUGUUUUGAGGUAAAAUUUCUAAAAGGUCUAUGAGGGAGGCUUUGUUUCUUGUCUUCUGACUGCCCUGCCAUUUCUGACAGGAUUGUUGCUCGCUUUUGAGGCCUCCUACAGACGCUUCGGCAGAGAAGCUGAUCUCGAGGAAAGCGUCUCCACAAGAGAUUUCCUCGAUCUUCGAAAGACCACAUACGAUUAUCCGGCAUUAAAAAGAGGAAAAUCUCGAAACUGCCGCCUGCUGGAAACGACACGGCCUUUCUAGCCAGGCAAUAUUAGGACACUUUCCUUCUCCAGUGCCCAUCAUCCGAGUCCCGCAUGGAACAUGACGGUCCCGCCGUGUCCUCUGGCAUCGCUCGCAGGAUCCUCCAGGGGGCUCCCUCGGUAGCCAUUGGAAGAGCUGGGCAGCUCCACCCUCCUCCUUUCGAAGAAAACUGAGCAUGCGCAUUGUUCUUUCCCCGUCCAAAGUGUUCCCCGUGCCCUACUUUUUUUCCUCCUUUUUUCCAGAAAAGACUGGGAUCGCGUCUGGCUUUUCUACCGAGUCCCCUUCGCUGUGAGCCUCGGCCUGAGUUUUCUCCAGAAGUCCCAA